rnacentral:rRNA from 1 species
GCUGGAGGUAUCAGAAGUGCGAAUGCUGACAUAAGUAACGAUAAAGCGGGUGAAAAGCCCGCUCGCCGGAAGACCAAGGGUUCCUGUCCAACGUUAAUCGGGGCAGGGUGAGUCGACCCCUAAGGCGAGGCCGAAAGGCGUAGUCGAUGGGAAACGGGUUAAUAUUCCCGUACUUGGUGUUACUGCGAAGGGGGGACGGAGAAGGCUAUGUUGGCCGGGCGACGGUUGUCCCGGUUUAAGCGUGUAGGUGUGUGUUCCAGGUAAAUCCGGUUCACUUUAACACUGAGGCGUGAUGACGAGGCACUACGGUGCUGAAGCAACAAAUGCCCUGCUUCCAGGAAAAGCCUCUAAGCAUCAGGUAACAUCAAAUCGUACCCCAAACCGACACAGGUGGUCAGGUAGAGAAUACCAAGGCGCUUGAGAGAACUCGGGUGAAGGAACUAGGCAAAAUGGUGCCGUAACUUCGGGAGAAGGCACGCUGACACGUAGGUGAAGUGAUUUACUCACGGAGCUGAAGUCAGUCGAAGAUACCAGCUGGCUGCAACUGUUUAUUAAAAACACAGCACUGUGCAAACACGAAAGUGGACGUAUACGGUGUGACGCCUGCCCGGUGCCGGAAGGUUAAUUGAUGGGGUCAGCGCAAGCGAAGCUCCUGAUCGAAGCCCCGGUAAACGGCGGCCGUAACUAUAACGGUCCUAAGGUAGCGAAAUUCCUUGUCGGGUAAGUUCCGACCUGCACGAAUGGCGUAAUGAUGGCCAGGCUGUCUCCACCCGAGACUCAGUGAAAUUGAACUCGCUGUGAAGAUGCAGUGUACCCGCGGCAAGACGGAAAGACCCCGUGAACCUUUACUAUAGCUUGACACUGAACAUUGAGCCUUGAUGUGUAGGAUAGGUGGGAGGCUUUGAAGUGUGGACGCCAGUCUGCAUGGAGCCGACCUUGAAAUACCACCCUUUAAUGUUUGAUGUUCUAACGUGGACCCGUAAUCCGGGUUGCGGACAGUGUCUGGUGGGUAGUUUGACUGGGGCGGUCUCCUCCUAAAGAGUAACGGAGGAGCACGAAGGUUGGCUAAUCCUGGUCGGACAUCAGGAGGUUAGUGCAAUGGCAUAAGCCAGCUUGACUGCGAGCGUGACGGCGCGAGCAGGUGCGAAAGCAGGUCAUAGUGAUCCGGUGGUUCUGAAUGGAAGGGCCAUCGCUCAACGGAUAAAAGGUACUCCGGGGAUAACAGGCUGAUACCGCCCAAGAGUUCAUAUCGACGGCGGUGUUUGGCACCUCGAUGUCGGCUCAUCACAUCCUGGGGCUGAAGUAGGUCCCAAGGGUAUGGCUGUUCGCCAUUUAAAGUGGUACGCGAGCUGGGUUUAGAACGUCGUGAGACAGUUCGGUCCCUAUCUGCCGUGGGCGCUGGAGAACUGAGGGGGGCUGCUCCUAGUACGAGAGGACCGGAGUGGACGCAUCACUGGUGUUCGGGUUGUCAUGCCAAUGGCACUGCCCGGUAGCUAAAUGCGGAAGAGAUAAGUGCUGAAAGCAUCUAAGCACGAAACUUGCCCCGAGAUGAGUUCUCCCUGAGACUUAGAGUCUCCUGAAGGAACGUUGAAGACGACGACGUUGAUAGGCCGGGUGUGUAAGCGCAGCGAUGCGUUGAGCUAACCGGUACUAAUGAACCGUGAGGCUUAACCUUAC